GUCCAAUAAAAAUGUAGGGGUCUUCUACUGGUCGUGCACCGAUUCACGUUAAUAGAAGGAUAGUAGUAAAUAUUCUUCAAAAUAAAAGUUUAUUGAUUGGAUAAAAUUGGGUCCUAUUGAAUUUUUUUUUAUUUGUGAAGGGUAUGAUAUAUAAAAUUGCAAUUGAUAGGAUGAGAGCAAUUACUCCUCCUAAUUUGUUAGGAAUUGAUCGUAGGAUUGCAUAGGCGAAUAAGAAGUAUCAUUCUGGCUUAAUAUGGGCAGGAGUUACUAAGGGAUUUGCUGGUGUGAAAUUAUCAGGGUCUCCUAGAAAAUAAGGUGAAUAGAGUGUUAAAAAUGUUAAUAAAAAUAAUAUAAUUAAUAUGCCUAAAAUGUCUUUAUAUGUAAAAUAGGGGUGGAAUGGGAUUUUAUCAAUAUUUUUUAUAGUUCCGAGGGGGUUAUUUGAUCCUGUUUGGUGGAGGAAUAAGAGAUGGAUAAUUACAAAUGCAGUAACGAUAAAUGGUAAUAAAAAAUGAAAUGCAAAGAAUCGGGUUAAAGUUGCGUUAUCGACUGCGAAUCCCCCCCAAAUUCAUUGAACAAUAGAAGUUCCUAAAUAUGGGAUAGCAGAGACUAAAUUAGUAAUAACUGUGGCCCCUCAAAAAGAUAUUUGACCUCAGGGUAAUACAUACCCUAAGAAAGCGGUGGCUAUUACUAGGAAAAAGAUUGUUACUCCAAUUAUUCAGGUUUCUUUAAGAUUAUAGGAUCUAUAAUAAAGUCCUCGCCCAAUAUGAAUAUAGAGACAAAUAAAAAAAAAAGAAGCUCCAUUAGCAUGGAGUGUUCGGAUUAGUCAUCCAUAAUUGACAUUACGACAAAUAUGGGCCACACUAUUAAAGGCUAAUUCAAUAUUGGGGCAGUAGUGUAUAGCUAAGAAAAUACCAGUUAAAAUUUGAAGUGUUAGACAUAAUCCUAGAAGGGAGCCAAAAUUUCAUAAAGAUGAGAUUCUUGAUGGGGUUGGGAGAUCAAUUAGAGAAUUAUUGAAAAUUUU
rnacentral:misc_RNA from 1 species